CUGAGGAAAAUCCAUCCAGGAAGUGCUUUUAUUUUGAAAUGCCUGUUUUUCCAUACAAAGACUUAUGACGCAGUUCACGAUCCCUAUGGCUUCCACUACAUGUGGCCAGUCUUUAGGCAAUGUUUCAGGCUUUUACUCUGAAAAAUAAGGGAGAAAACCCACUUUCAAUGAGAGGACAGUGGAAAUUUCCAGACACGAGUCCAGCGUGUGACUGGGAGCGCACCUUUCUUGUUUGUCCUUUUCUACUGAUGAAGCUAUUGUCCGGUUUAAAUUUGAUCGAUUAUUUAUGACAAAAACAACCUGAGGAUUGAUUAUAAACAGCGUUUGACAUGUUUCUACGAACUUUUAUGGUACUUUUUUGAUUUUUCGUCUGUCUGUUGUGACCACGUUUUGUUCCAAUGGAUUACUGAACAAAACGCACGAACAAACGGAGGUUUUAGAAUAUAAAGAGGGACUUGAUUGAACAAAACGAACAUUUAUUGGGUAACUGGGAGUUUUGUGAGUGUAACCAUAUGAAGAUCAUCAAGGGAUAGGAUCUCUGCUUUCCUCCAUCUCUCCCUCCAUCCUGCCCAUCUGCCCAUCUCCAUCCUGCCCAUCUGGAGGAGGAACGUGAACUGAAAAACUUGGAAUGUGCAGCUGUUGUUGGUAAGUAACUAAUCUGCUAUCUUCUGACAUGACUUACUGCAUCUAGUAAGAGAUCCGUUGAUGGGUUACUAUAACAGCUCUAUCUAUUGAUUGGUAGAAGCUAUUCCUAAUUCGUUCUCAGAUGUGUGGUUGUGAUCAGUAGUUGUGGUCAGUAGUAGUGGUCAGUAGUUGUGGUCAGUAGUUGUGGUCAGUAGUGGUCAGUAGUUGUGGUUCAGUAGUAGUGGUCAGUAGUAGUGGUCAGUAGUUGUGGUCAGUAGUAGUGGUCAGUAGUUGUGGUCAGUAGUUGUGUAUUUGUGGUCAGUAGUAGUGGUCAGUAGUACUGGUCAGUAGUUGUGUGGUUGUGGUCAGUAGUUGUGGUCAGUAGUUUUGUGGUUGUGGUCAGUCGUUGUGGUCAGUAGCAGUGGUCAGUAGUAGUGGUCAGUAGUUGUGUAUUUGUGGUCAGUGGUAGUGGUCAGUAGUUGUGUUCAGUAGUAGUGGUCAGUAGUUGUGGUCAGUAGUUGUGUGGUCAGUAGUUGUGGUCAGUAGUUGUGGUUAGUAGUGGUCAGUAGCAGUGGUCAGUAGUUUUGUGGUUGUGGUCAGUAGUUGUGAUCAAUAGUUGUGGUUAGUAGUGGUCAGUAGUUGUGGUUAGUAGUUGUGGUCAGUAGUUGUGGUUAGUAGUUGUGGUCAGUAGUUGUGGUUAGUAGUUGUGUGGUCAGUAGUUGUGGUUAGUAGUUGUGUGGUCAGUAGUUGUGGUUAGUAGUUGUGGUCAGUAGUGGUCAGUAGGUGUGGUCAGUAGUAGUGGUCAGUAGUUGUGGUUCAGUAGUAGUGGUUCAGUAGUAGUGGUCAGUAGUUGUGGUCAGUAGUUGUGGUCAGUAGUUGUGGUCAGUAGUUGUGUAUUUGUGGUCAGUAGUAGUGGUCAGUAGUAGUGGUCAGUAGUUGUGUGGUUGUGGUCAGUAGUUGUGGUCAGUAGUUUUGUGGUUGUGGUCAGUAGUAGUGGUCAGUAGUAGUGGUCAGUAGUUUUGUGGUUGUGGUCAGUAGUUGUGGUCAGUCGUUGUGGUCAGUAGCAGUGGUCAGUAGUAGUGGUCAGUAGUUGUGUAUUUGUGGUCAGUGGUAGUGGUCAGUAGUUGUGUUCAGUAGUAGUGGUCAGUAGUUGUGGUCAGUAGUUGUGUGGUCAGUAGUUGUGGUCAGUAGUUGUGGUUAGUAGUGGUCAGUAGCAGUGGUCAGUAGUUUUGUGGUUGUGGUCAGUAGUUGUGAUCAAUAGUUGUGGUUAGUAGUGGUCAGUAGUUGUGGUCAGUAGUUGUGGUCAGUAGUUGUGGUCAGUAGUUGUGGUUAGUAGUUGUGUGGUCAGUAGUUGUGGUAUGUAGUUGUGUGGUCAGUAGUUGUGGUUAGUAGUUGUGGUCAGUAGUGGUCAGUAGUAGUGGUCAGUAGUUGUGGUCAGUAGUUGUGGUCAGUAGUUGUGGUUAGUAGUUGUGUGGUCAGUAGUUGUGGUUAGUAGUUGUGGUCAGUAGUUGUGGUUAGUAGUUGUGUGGUCAGUAGUUGUGGUUAGUAGUUGUGGUCAGUAGUUGUGGUCAGUAGUUGUGUGGUCAGUAGUUGUGUGGUUCAGUAGUUGUGUGGUCAGUAGUUGUGUGGUUCAGUAGUUGUGUGGUCAGUAGUUGUGGUCAGUAGUGGUCAGUAGUUGUGGUCAGUAGUUGUGGUCAGUAGUUGUGUGGUCAGUAGUUGUGGUCAGUAGUUGUGGUCAGUAGUUGUGGGCAGUAGUUGUGUGGUCAGUAGUUGUGGUCAGUAUUUGUGGUCAGUAGUUGUGUGGUCAGUAGUUGUGGUCAGUAGUUGUGUGGUCAGUAGUUGUGGUCAGUAGUUGUGGUCAGUAGUUGUGGUUAGUUGUGGUCAGUAGUUGUGGUUAGUAGUGGUCAGUAGCUGUGGUCAGUAGCUGUGGUUAGUUGUGGUCAGUAGUUGUGGUCAGUAGUUGUGGUCAGUGGUGGUCAGUAGUGGUCAGUAGCUGUGGUUAGUAGUGGUAAGUAGCUGUGGUUAGUUGUGGUCAGUAGUUGUGGUCAGUAGUUGUGUGGUUGUGGUCAGUAUUUGCCUUGGCUGCAUCCCUAUCUUCACCCUCGUCAUCAUUUUUGCAAACCUG
rnacentral:lncRNA from 1 species